UCGCCGUCGAGCGGUGGAAUGAGCAUCCCCGAAUGUUCGACUGAUUGAGAAAAUGGUACGGAUCCACGUAAAGGCGGCGGCGGCGGAGGCGGAGGAGCAGCAGUUCCUCUACAGUUGUUCUUGCGAUUCAAGCAUCGCCGACUUAGCCGACGCGAUCCUCGAGAUUUAUAAUCUUCAGGCUUGGAUCCAAGCUCUCUGCGUCCAUGUCCGGCAAUACCUUCUCACCGAUGCUUUUAGAGAGAAUUGCGCAGGUGUUGCGGAUGUUCUUGAUAGAACUUUAUCAGAAGCAGGGACAUAUGCAUCCAAGGAGCAAGUUUUACAUCAAAGGUUUUUAUCAUCUCACUUUCUCCGAGACCAUAUUCAAACGAUAGAAAAGGAAGUCAAGAUUGCUCGUUCAAGGGGUUUGCCAGAAUCAAAUACUCAAAUAACAACUUUUACUCCAGAACUCCAUAAAGAUGUUCAGCUUAUAUGGGCAGGAAAAGAGUUAUCGAGGGGGAAACGGUUAUGUGACUAUAUUGGUGGAAAUGAGAAAACAAAGAUUACAAUCAAAUUGAAGUUGGGCUGUGAAGACUUGGAAAAUAGAAUGGUCACAAAUGUACAAGAAGGUUGCUGACAGUUAGUAUUGUUGAUUCUUACUAGCCAAAGCAACUUAAUGGUCCCUUGACAGUUAGUCUCUCUCUCUCUCUGCUAGUGGUUUUGAAAGAGCAUGACCACAUAGAAGCUCAGAAAAUGAUAUAUGUUUACAGCUAGUACCAUGUGCCUCUCAUGCUUAUUGUCUGGGUUGAUCUGAGGUCUUUGGGAUAAAAAUCAGAUUUACGAAGUAAGUUGUAGCUUUUGCCGCCUCCAUUCAGGCUUCGUUUGGGACGGCUUUCUUACUGUUUCUUAAAGCGAUUUUUUAGUACAAAAUUUAAAAUUUUUGUACUAGAAAGACUCUUUAAGAAGUAGGAAGAAAGCUGUCCCAAAGGAAGCCUCAAUAAAAUAUUAUGAAUGUUUCGUACAUUUAUUUUCUGUUCACCAAAAUCUGGGUUGUUACGUAGUUACUCAGCAACUUCCUUGAAAGAGAGUUACAUAUUUGUUUCUUUUGGAGAAGUUUAUCUUUAUUGCAGUAGUCUGAAUAUUUUUGCACUGUUUUUUGCAACUGCAAGCUAUGAAUCUAUUAUAAAUUUAAGUUC